rnacentral:rRNA from 1 species
AUUGAACGCUGGCGGCAUGCCUUACACAUGCAAGUCGAACGGUAACGCGGGGCAACCUGGCGACGAGUGGCGAACGGGUGAGUAAUGUAUCGGAACGUGCCCAGUAGUGGGGGAUAGCCCGGCGAAAGCCGGAUUAAUACCGCAUGAGACCUGAGGGUGAAAGCGGGGGAUCGCAAGACCUCGCGCAAUUGGAGCGGCCGAUAUCAGAUUAGGUAGUUGGUGGGGUAAAGGCCUACCAAGCCGACGAUCUGUAGCUGGUCUGAGAGGACGACCAGCCACACUGGGACUGAGACACGGCCCAGACUCCUACGGGAGGCAGCAGUGGGGAAUUUUGGACAAUGGGCGCAAGCCUGAUCCAGCCAUGCCGCGUGCGGGAAGAAGGCCUUCGGGUUGUAAACCGCUUUUGUCAGGGAAGAAAUCCUCUGGGUUAAUACCUCGGGGGGAUGACGGUACCUGAAGAAUAAGCACCGGCUAACUACGUGCCAGCAGCCGCCGUAACAC